GUCGAUUUCAAAAAUCGUGAGGGUUCAAGUCCCUCUAUCCCCAAAAAGAC
rnacentral:tRNA from 21 species